rnacentral:rRNA from 1 species
GACGAACGCUGGCGGCGUGCCUAAUACACGCAAGUAGAACGCACAGUUUAUACCGUAGCUUGCUACACCAUAGACUGUGAGUUGCGAACGGGUGAGUAACGCGUAGGUAACCUGCCUGGUAGCGGGGGAUAACUAUUGGAAACGAUAGCUAAUACCGCAUAAUAUUAAUUAUUGCAUGAUAAUUAAUUGAAAGGUGCAAUUGCACCACUACCAGAUGGACCUGCGUUGUAUUAGCUAGUAGGUGAGGUAACGGCUCACCUAGGCGACGAUACAUAGCCGACCUGAGAGGGUGAUCGGCCACACUGGGACUGAGACACGGCCCAGAAUCCUACGGGAGGGAGCAGGAGGGAAUCUUCGGCAAUGGACGAAAGUCUGACCGAGCAACGCCGCGGGAGGGAAGAAGGGUUUCGGAUCGGAAAGCUCGGUUGUAAGAGAAGAACGGGUGUGAGAGUGGAAAGUUCACACUGUGACGGUAUCUUACCAGAAAGGGACGGCUAACUACGUG